rnacentral:rRNA from 1 species
UGCAGUCGAGCGAUCUUUGGGAGCUUGCUCCUAAAGAUUAGCGGCGGACGGGUGAGUAACACGUGGGCAACCUACCUUACAGAUGGGGAUAACUCCGGGAAACCGGGGCUAAUACCGAAUAAUCCAUUUCUUCGCAUGAAGAGAUGUUGAAAGACGGUUUCGGCUGUCACUGUGAGAUGGGCCCGCGGCGCAUUAGUUAGUUGGUGGGGUAACGGCCUACCAAGACCACGAUGCGUAGCCGACCUGAGAGGGUGAUCGGCCACACUGGGACUGAGACACGGCCCAGACUCCUACGGGAGGCAGCAGUAGGGAAUCUUCCACAAUGGACGAAAGUCUGAUGGAGCAACGCCGCGUGAGUGAAGAAGGUUUUCGGAUCGUAAAGCUCUGUUGUAAGGGAAGAACACGUACAGGAGUAACUGCCUGUACCUUGACGGUACCUUACCAGAAAGCCACGGCUAACUACGUGCCAGCAGCCGCGGUAAUACGUAGGUGGCAAGCGUUGUCCGGAAUUAUUGGGCGUAAAGCGCGCGCAGGCGGUCCUUUAAGUCUGAUGUGAAAGCCCACGGCUCAACCGUGGAGGGUCAUUGGAAACUGGAGGACUUGAGUACAGAAGAGGAAAGCGGAAUUCCACGUGUAGCGGUGAAAUGCGUAGAGAUGUGGAGGAACACCAGUGGCGAAGGCGGCUUUCUGGUCUGUAACUGACGCUGAGGCGCGAAAGCGUGGGA